AGCGAACGCUGGCGGCAGGCCUAACACAUGCAAGUCGAACGAACCUUUCGGGGUUAGUGGCGGACGGGUGAGUAACACGUGGGAACGUGCCUUUAGGUUCGGAAUAACUCAGGGAAACUUGUGCUAAUACCGAAUGUGCCCUUCGGGGGAAAGAUUAAUCGCCUUUAGAGCGGCCCGCGUCUGAUUAGCUAGUUGGUUGAGGUAAUGGCUCACCAAGGCGACGAUCAGUAGCUGGUCUGAGAGGAUGAUCAGCCACAUGGGGACUGAGACACGGCCCAAACUCCUACGGGAGGCAGCAGUGGGGAAUCUUGCGCAAUGGGCGAAAGCCUGACGCAGCCAUGCCGCGUGAAUGAUGAAGGUCUUAGGAUUGUAAAAUUCUUUCACCGGGGACGAUAAUGACGGUACCCGGAGAAGAAGCCCCGGCUAACUUCGUG
rnacentral:rRNA from 1 species